rnacentral:rRNA from 1 species
UCGCACCUACCGAUUGGAUGGUCCGGUGAAGCCUCGGGAUUGCGAGGGUGUGCUUCGGUACCUCCCGCGAGAACUUGUCUAAACCUUAUCAUCUAGAGGAAGGUG